rnacentral:rRNA from 1 species
GCUUAUUGCGCGGCGAUAAACCUUACACACAUUGUCUAGUUUUUUUGAACUUUGCUUUGGGUGGUGAGCCUGGCUUACUGCCCAAAGGUCUAAACACAUUUUUUUUAAUGUUAAAACCUUUAACCAAUAGUCAUGAAAAUUUUUAACAAAAAUUAAAAUCUUCAAAACUUUCAACAACGGAUCUCUUGGUUCUCGCAACGAUGAAGAACGCAGCGAAAUGCGAUACGUAUUGUGAAUUGCAGAUUUUCGUGAAUCAUCGAAUCUUUGAACGCACAUUGCACCCUCUGGUAUUCCAGAGGGUAUGCCUGUUUGAGCGUCAUUUCUCUCUCAAACCUUCGGGUUUGGUAUUGAGUGAUACUCUGUCAAGGGUUAACUUGAAAUAUUGACUUAGCAAGAGUGUACUAAUAAGCAGUCUUUCUGAAAUAAUGUAUUAGGUUCUUCCAACUCGUUAUAUCAGCUAGGCAGGUUUAGAAGUAUUUUAGGCUCGGCUUAACAACAAUAAACUAAAAGUUUGACCUCAAAUCAGGUAGGACUAC